rfam:Synechococcus sp. CATP A 1101 synech5_c1, whole genome shotgun sequence.
GGCUCGGAUCUAUGCGAUUACAACGCCUAAACUUUGUCAGGACCGGAAGGUAGCAGCAAUACAGGAUGCUUGCAAUAGGCGUGGACUCCGGGUCACC